GACGGACGCUGGCGGCGUGCCUAAUACAUGCAAGUAGAACGCACAGUUUAUACCGUAGCUUGCUACACCAUAGACUGUGAGUUGCGAACGGGUGAGUAACGCGUAGGUAACCUGCCUGGUAGCGGGGGAUAACUAUUGGAAACGAUAGCUAAUACCGCAUAAUAUUAAUUAUUGCAUGAUAAUUAAUUGAAAGGUGCAAUUGCACCACUACCAGAUGGACCUGCGUUGUAUUAGCUAGUAGGUGAGGUAACGGCUCACCUAGGCGACGAUACAUAGCCGACCUGAGAGGGUGAUCGGCCACACUGGGACUGAGACACGGCCCAGACUCCUACGGGAGGCAGCAGUAGGGAAUCUUCGGCAAUGGACGAAAGUCUGACCGAGCAACGCCGCGUGAGUGAAGAAGGUUUUCGGAUCGUAAAGCUCUGUUGUAAGAGAAGAACGGGUGUGAGAGUGAAAGUUCACACUGUGACGGUAUCUUACCAGAAAGGGACGGCUAACUACGUG
rnacentral:rRNA from 1 species